CCCGAAAUUUCGUAUUGGGGUGAUUCAACGUCAGCGGCGUCGGCUUCGCCAUGGUCCGCGAUGCUGGGACCCCGAGUUCGCGGCACGCGGCCGUGGGAUGCCCGUCAUCGACGACGUGCACUUCUCCCCUUGCAGGACGUCGCGACCCGUCGGGCGUCGGUCUACGGCCCGUAUCGGUAGCCUGUCCUCGGCGUUCGCGCGCCGGGGGCAGACCGUCGGUUGCCCGGCCGGCUGCUCGGCGGUACACGUACGGUAUCUAGCCGCAUCGAAUUGCGUCCAGCCCGUCGCAAGCGAGACCAGCGUUCACCGGUGGUCGGACCCCGCGCCGGCCCCGGAACUGGUCCGCUGUUCGCUGUCGGUGCCCUCGGACGGGCUAUAACAAUUACCGGUCGGCGACGCUAUUGCUUCGGGUACUUUCA
rnacentral:rRNA from 1 species